rnacentral:rRNA from 1 species
AGUGAACGCUGGCGGUAGGCCUAACACAUGCAAGUCGAACGGCAGCACAGUAAGAGCUUGCUCUUACGGGUGGCGAGUGGCGGACGGGUGAGGAAUACAUCGGAAUCUACUUUUUCGUGGGGGAUAACGUAGGGAAACUUACGCUAAUACCGCAUACGACGUACGGGUGAAAGCAGGGGAUCUUCGGAUCUUGCGCGAUUGAAUGAGCCGAUGUCGGAUUAGCUAGUUGGCGGGGUAAAGGCCCACCAAGGCGACGAUCCGUAGCUGGUCUGAGAGGAUGAUCAGCCACACUGGAACUGAGACACGGUCCAGACUCCUACGGGAGGCAGCAGUGGGGAAUAUUGGACAAUGGGCGCAAGCCUGAUCCAGCCAUGCCGCGUGGGUGAAGAAGGCCUUCGGGUUGUAAAGCCCUUUUGUUGGGAAAGAAGAGCAGCAGGUUAAUACCCCGCUGUUCUGACGGUACCCAAAGAAUAAGCACCGGCUAACUUCGUG